UACGGAGGGUGCGAGAGUUAAUCGGAAUUACUGGGCGUAAAGCGUGCGCAGGCGGUUAUAUAAGACAGAUGUGAAAUCCCCGGGCUCAACCUGGGCACUGCAUUUGUGACUGUAUAGCUAGAGUACGGUAGAGGGGGAUGGAAUUCCGCGUGUAGCAGUGAAAUGCGUAGAUAUGCGGAGGAACACCGAUGGCGAAGGCAAUCCCAUGGACCUGUACGGACGCGCAUGCACGAAAGCGGGGGGAGCCCACAGGCUGCGAUAACACUGUAGUCC
rnacentral:rRNA from 1 species